GAAUGCGUCUCGGUCAAAGCUCAUCCUUGUGGUGUGGCUGGACUGGCGUUUCCUAUCUUCCGAUAGUGGGGUCAAACUCGCUUCGGAUCGUUUACUUUGAAAAAAUUAGAGUGUUUAAAGCAGGCGUUUGCUUGAAUACAUUAGCAUGGAAUAAUGGAAUAGGGCUGCUGCCCCAUUUUGUUGGUUUCUGGGACCGUAGCA
rnacentral:rRNA from 1 species